AAUGAACGCUGGCGGCAGGCCUAACACAUGCAAGUCGAGCGAGCGGCGGACGGGUGAGUAAUGUAUGGGGACUGCCCGAUAGAGGGGGAUAACUAAUGGAAACGGUAGCUAAUACCGCAUACUAUCGGAUAACCCAUAUGGGAUUAGCUAGUAGGUGGGGUAAAGGCUCACCUAGGCGACGUUCCCUAGCUGGUCUGAGAGGAUGAUCGGCCACACUGGGACUAAGACACGGCCCAGCCUCCGACGGAGGCAGCAGUGGGGAAUAUUGCACAAUGGGCGGAAGCCGGAUGCAUCCAUGCCGCUUGUAUGAAGAAGGCCCUAGGGUUGUAAAGUACUUUCAGUCGGGAGGCGUUACCGACAGAAGAAGCACCGGCUAACUCCGUGCCAGCCGCCGCGGUAAUAC
rnacentral:rRNA from 1 species